rnacentral:rRNA from 2 species
UUGACCUCGGAUCAGGUAGGAUUACCCGCUGAACUUAAGC